rnacentral:rRNA from 1 species
UUUUAUUUUAUUAUUAUUUUUAUGUUUUUUAUUUGUUAAUAAGAAUUAUAUUUUUUUUAGUUUUUGUUAGAAAAAAUUUUUUUAUUAUAGUUUAUAGUAUUGAUAUAGAAUUUAUUUAAUUUUUGAAAAGAAGAAUUUAUUUUUUGUACCUUGUGUGUCAGGGUUUAUUUAGCUAAUUAUUUAAUUUUCUCGAAUUCAAAAGAUCUAUUAUUUUAUUUAUUUUAUUCUUGAAUAAAUAUUUAUAAUUAAAUAAUAGUAAUGAAAUGUUAUUCGUUUUUGAUGAUAUCUAGUUUCUUAAGAAAUUAAUUUAAUUUACUUAAUUUAUAUUGUGUCUAUUUUUAUAAAUUGAUUCAUUUAUAUUUAUUUAUGAUUAUUGGGAUAAGCUUUAGAUCAUAUUAUUAUAAUUUUUAUUUAAUUAAUAAUUUUAUUUAGGAUUAGAAUUUUCCAUUUUUUGGAGGAUGUUAUAUUUUAAAUUUUUUAUUUUUGAUUUUUUUUAUUUUAAUUAUUUAUUAGGAUUGGAUUUAAAUUUUUUUAUUUUUGUAAUAAUGAUUAAAUUAGUAUAAUUUUAUUUUUAUUUAUAUUGUUAUUUUAAUAAAAGGAACUCGGCAAAUUAGGUUUUCACCUGUUUAUUAAAAACAUGUCUUUAUGAUUAUUAUUUAAGGUCUGGCCUGCCCAAUGAUUAUUUAAAUGGCCGCAGUAUCUUGACUGUGCAAAGGUAGCAUAAUCAUUAGUUUCUUAAUUGGAAGCUGGUAUGAAAGGUUUGAUGAAAAAUUUACUGUCUUUUAUUUAUUGUUUUAGAAUUUUAUUUUUAAGUUAAAAAGCUUAAAUUUUUAAUAUAGACGAGAAGACCCUAUAGAGUUUUAUUGAUUUUUUGUUAUUUUUUAUGUUUUAUUUUUGCAUUUUUUCAAUUUUGUUGGGGUGAUAGAUAAAUUUUGUAAACUUUAUUUUUUAUUAACGCUAAUUUGCGUUUUUUUGAUCCUUUAUUUGGAUUAUAAGAUUAAAUUACCUUAGGGAUAACAGCGUAAUUUUUUUUGAAAGUUCUUAUUUAUAGAAAAGAUUGCGACCUCGAUGUUGGAUUAAAAUUAAUAUUUGGUGUAGUAGCUUUAAUAUUAGGUCUGUUCGACCUUUAAAAUUUUACAUGAUCUGAGUUUAGACCGGCGUGAGCCAGGUUGGUUUCUAUCUUGUUUUUUUUUCUAUAUUUUAGUACGAAAGGACCAUUUAUGGAAAUAAUAUUUUUUAUUUUGAAUUUUGUUAA